ACAGGAGGGCAUGGCCAUGACUGAAGGGAAGUCAGCAAUGCUGAAGGAGCUGGUGCUAGAGGAGUCUAAAACUCUUGCUCAGAAAGAUGCUACCUCUGAAACAGCACCUGGAAUUGGAAUCACCACCUAAUUGUGUUUAUGAUAAUCUGCAGAAACUCCCCAUGAUUCAUCCAACUGCUGUACAGGCUGAACAGUAUAGAAGCAAAAAUUGCUGUUAGUGUCCCACCAGAGGUCUGUUGAGAGGUCAUGAUGGUUUCCCGGGACCGGCCAGUGCACCACGGGGUAUGUUCUCAUCAGGCCGUGAGCUUGAUGGUCCCUUCUGCACAACAGGCUGUGAAUGCCACUCCAAUUUCCACAGGUAAUUCUAAAUGAAGAUCCAAGGCUUCAACAGUGACAU
rnacentral:lncRNA from 1 species